rnacentral:rRNA from 1 species
UGCCAGCAGCCGCGGUAAUACGGAGGGUGCAAGCGUUAAUCGGAAUUACUGGGCUUAAAGAGUUCGUAGGUGGUUGAAAAAGUUGGUGGUGAAAUCCCAGAGCUUAACUCUGGAACUGCCAUCAAAACUUUUCAGCUAGAGUGUGAUAGAGGUAAGUGGAAUUUCUAGUGUAGAGGUGAAAUUCGUAGAUAUUAGAAAGAACACCAAAUGCGAAGGCAACUUACUGGGUCACUACUGACACUGAGGAGCGAAAGCAUGGGUAGCGAAGAGGAUUAGAUA